AUCCAGCUGAUGAGUACGUAAUAGGACGAAACACGCGUCCUACAU
rnacentral:hammerhead_ribozyme from 1 species